UACGUAGGGCGCAAGCGUUGUCCGGAUUCACUGGGUGUAAAGGGUGCGUAGGCGGGAAGGUAAGUCCGCGGUGAAAUCUCACAGCUCAACUGUGAAACUGCCGUUGAUACUGCUUUUCUUGAGUUCGGGAGAGGUUGAUGGAAUUCCAGGUGUAGCGGUGAAAUGCGUAGAUAUCUGGAAGAACACCAGUGGCGAAGGCGGUCAACUGGCCCGUUACUGACGCUGAGGUGCGAAAGCGUGGGGAGCAAACAGG
rnacentral:rRNA from 1 species